rnacentral:sRNA from 1 species
UGUGUACGAGGGUCACCCCAGUGACAUGGUGCAGUGCGGCUGGCAACACGUGCAUAGGGCGUGGUUCGGCGUGGGAAAAUGAAAAGAGAAAAAGAGAGUGGGCGAUGGGCCCCACCAUAUUUUUUUUAUUUUCUUUUUUUUACUAUGUUAGCUAAACCAAGUGCUAAUACUACCAUGGGAUGAUGGGACUCUUGUUGCACGGUUUUUUACAAUUUAGGUGUGAAGAUUUUUGGUAUUAGGAUAAGAGGUACUAUCUCCGUCCCAAAAUAAAUAAGUGUAGUUUUACACUGUUUAUGUCGAACGUUCAUCCAUCCGUCUUAUUUGAAAUUUUUUUAUGGUUAGUAUUUUUGUUAUUAUUAGAUGAUAAAACAUGAAUAGUACUUUAUGUGUGACUAUUUUUUUUCCAUAUUUUUUUUUCAAAUA